UUUAUACGGAGAAUAGCGGUCUGGCGUGACUGUCAUGAUGUGUCGGAGGAGGAGUCUGGCCAAGAACACUCAAAAUUAUCGGGCAGUUCCUCCUUUAAUGCAUCACCCAUGCGACAGACAUUCACUCCUGUGAACGCAAGUCCUCCAAAGUACACAACCCCUGAAAAGGUUGUGAGGUUAUCCUUUCCAGAAUAUGUAUUGCACACCGACACAGAACUUGAGCAAGUCUGACAACAAUACUUUGAGUUGUCGAAGAGAGGCGAACAGCGCAACUGCCAGAUGUCAAAGGAGCUCAGAUGCCGGCUCAUUCGAAACACCAUGACCAGUAUGAUUGCAAUCCUGAGGGCAAAGGGGGAUAGAGAAUCACACAGAUACCCAUCAAAGCCAGAAAUUACUGCAAUGGCAUAGAGAAUAAUACUGUACUACCCCAUGCUACAGGACCAAGGCCUCCAUACAUGGAGGCGCUGUCUUGAGCAGCCAACAGACACGGAUGAAAUGGAUUCAAGUGACUCAACAAACAUUCUAGAUCGGUCCACAGAAGGAAGUGGCAGCCCAGGCUCAGACUGUAAAGAAAGUGAGUUAGAAGAAAUAUGUCAUGUGUUGAAGGAAAAAGAAAAUCCCAAAGCCUACCUGAAGAAGCACCUUCUGCCCUGUCCAGUCCUGAUAUUAACAAGUCUGCAGAUGUUGACAGUCCAGACACCAGUCAAGCAACCUUGGCCAAGCACUACAAGGCCCUACAAACUUUGUAUAAAAGAAAAAAUCCAAACCACACUGAUGUUUCUCAUCUCUUGGAUUUAGAAUUUGUAGCCAGAAGAGCAUUCAUUGAUUCAAAUACCGUUCGCGAGGAGGACAGACAUGAGAAGGUUCUAGAAGCAUAUCCUUGUUUCAAGGACAUUGUACACGUAAGUCAUUAUUAACUGUGCAUGAUUAAAACCAUGUUAUCACACACAAUGUUUCAAAUACCAAUUUCCUCUUAAAUGAUAUUCAGAUGUCUGUAUUGGUAUAUUUGAUAUUUCAUAGGAGCUUCAACGCAUUUUGGAUAUUGAUAAUAUCAACUUCAUCGAUGAACUGAAGGGAAGAUUUAGUUUUUUGGUGUAUGGAAAAAGGCGCUGAAACCCCCAAUGUGCAUGGACAAAGGUAGGGAAUGGUGUUUUGGUGUUAUUAGUGAAUAGGGUUUAGGGUGGACCUUCAGGCAUGUUAAUUGUCAAGUAGAGCUAGUGUUUUGUCAUCCUUCUUUUUCAUCUAUGAUGGCUAUCCCAUUAUUUGCUGGAUUUUUUUUUUUUUUUUUUUAAAGCAUUGUGUCUGUUGUAUACCUUUUGAUCAGAUUUGACCUUGUGCACUUUGUCCAAGUGCUUAAGUAAUGAAUCUUUUCCUGUACAGCUGAACAGGCACUUGAGAUUAUACGUGUGCUGCCAUCACUGUUCCCCUCCACAUCUGCUCCUCCAAAGAGGCUACGAGAUCCGAGUGAGGCUCUGGUGCAUGUCCUCGAGGAAACAGAAGACCCCAAUUCCUACUUAAAGAAAUGCCCUCUCUCCUGCCCAGUCCUGAUCAUCCGUCCGUCCAACUGCCUCCUAGCAGUAGGAGAUGUGGCAAUAACCACCUUUCCAAAAGACAAGCUUACUGAGAGUGCUUUAUACCUUAUGGCCUAC
ensembl:lncRNA